UACAGAGGGUGCAAGCGUUAAUCGGAAUUACUGGGCGUAAAGCGUGCGUAGACGGUUGCGUAAGUCAGAUGUGAAAGCCCCGGGCUCAACCUGGGAAUUGCAUUUGAGACUGCGUAGCUAGGGUGCGGAAGAGGGAAGCGGAACUUCCGGUGUAGCGGUGAAAUGACGUAGAUAUCGGGAGGAACACCGGUGGCGAAGGCGGUUCUCUGGGCCUGUACUGAUGCUGAGGAGCGAAAGCGUGGGGAGCGAACAGG
rnacentral:rRNA from 1 species